UACGUAGGGGGCUAGCGUUGUCCGGAUUUAUUGGGCGUAAAGAGCGUGUAGGCGGCCAGGUAGGUCUGCUGUGAAAACUCGAGGCUCAACCUCGAGACGUCGGCGGAAACCAUCUGGCUAGAGUCCGGAAGAGGAGAGUGGAAUUCCUGGUGUAGCGGUGAAAUGCGCAGAUAUCAGGAAGAACACCCGUGGCGAAGGCGGCUCUCCGGGACGGUACUGACGCUGAGACGCGAAAGCGUGGGGAGCGAACAGG
rnacentral:rRNA from 1 species